CACUUUGGUGGCUUUAGUGGUUAUAGUUUCCGCCUGGGAUGCGGGAGGUGGUGGGUUCGAACCCCGGUCGAGUCA